UAGAAAAUAUUUUAAGGGAUUGAAUUAAACAAUAUUUUUAAAAAAUUUCGAAGAAUCGUUAUCUUUAUAACAGAACGUAUCUUUAUGAAGUAAGAUUAUAAGCAGAAUAAUCAUGAAGACGGUACUGAAAGUCGCGAUGAACUUUGAAAAUCCCUCGGGAGCCUCCAAUAUGUCAAGGCUCGGUUAAUCCCGUCCCAUAUCGCGUGGCAUAUCGAAAUAAAAUAAUCUUCGCUAAACUGUUCAAGCAAUACAGAUGCAAAAAUUUAGCAGCCAUGUUUCAUCGAUUAAAUAUACGAACGUAGUCACAGAAAGAUGUCAAUCCCAUAUUAGCUUGAUCGUAUGAACCAGUGUUUCCCAACUUAUAAUCUCUUACUAGCCAAUAUUUGCACAAAAAUUUUCAUUCCGAAAAAAAAAGAUACGCUGAAAACGUAUAUUUUUUAGUCUGUAAUUCUAAUUUAUAAUUAUACAUAGACACACAGUGAUUCGGAGUUUUUGAUUAAUAGCAUAAUACUCGGCAUAUCAAGAGAGAAUUACUCAGGAUCUCAAGACUUGCUUUCCCAGAUAAACGAUAAGAUCUAUCGAUAAACCAUAAAGGGCCCUUAAGGACCUCUGUUACUCAAGAUCUACUACUAUACUACGAUCGUUCCAUCUUGGUGUGCUAAAAGUCGAACAGAACUCAUUGCCCUACUCGACCUUGUCGACAGACCUUGUCGAUAAUGUCCUCGAGUUACCGGAAAAAGGAUAAUUUCUAUUUGAUAAGAGACCGCAAAGUUCAAUUUCUAUUUGAUAAGAGACCUCGUCGUCCGAUCGGCAAAAGGUCGCAGAGCAUUCGUGGAAUCAAUACUUUGACACACUUCGCGGAAGAGGCCGUCAUUGAGGAAGCAUCGAUGCAUUUGAACGAGUUCCAAUAUAGGGUGAAAAAAUCGAUCCGGGGAAAGAGAGUGUUGCUUCUAAAUGUGGAAGGGAAAAAGGCUGGCUAUAGUUAGAGAGCGAUAAUGUACCUCACGAACGGACUCCGGUCACGGAAAUAGCUCAGAUACGUCUCAUCUCGGUACAUGUAACGUAGAUCGUUCUUGCAGCCCACUAACAACACCGGGGUCUGCGGGCAGAAUCGUCGUAUUUCCGGAUACCACAUCGCCUUGCAGUUCCGCAGGGAUACAGGAUUUGUUAUGGAGAAACAUAGUAGCACGACGUCCGAUCUGUAUUUAUAAGGAAUUCGACAAUUUAUCGUGGGAAUGACAAGUAGAAUUUCUUUUAGUUUUUAAAACUAUCGUAGAAUAAAAUCUGAAAUUGUAAGUAUCAACUUUGCUAUGAUUGUAGAAAAAAAAAACAAAGAUAUUUUACAAUUUGUUAAUUGAUGCGUGGAAGACAAGAAAUUUGAGGAAUCGAAGAUCGAGCACUUACCUGCCGUACGCGAAACGUCGAUCCUUCUCGUGGUCGCCAAACGUAUCCCAAAGUCGCAGGGAAACAUUCACGUUGUCGACUACCUCCCAAGAGCGUUCUAAAACCUAGAAAACAUAAACUGUGGAUGACACGUGCAUAUACAUAUAAUAAUGUGAAUUAAAAAGUAAUGUGACUAAAAAAUCAUAAGAUUAAUAAUAAGAUAAUAAGAAGAAAAUGCAAUUAAAUGAUGGAGACAUUAUAUACAGUUACUACAUUCCACCAAUAAUUUUAUACUAUCAAUCAUUCUUUCCAAAUGGAUUUCCAAUAUUUUAUGCCGCACUCAGACGAACAAAAGCUCAAUCAGACUGAAAUCAGAUAUAAAAAGUGUUUUU